GGGGCUCGGGACCAAAACAUCAAAGAAGCACCUUCGCAAGUGCACAGCAACACCUACAACUUCAUAGUGAUACCCUUUCUUCAUUGACAGAGCUGUCAUUGUGAGUUCAGAGCGAGAUGUUCCGAAUCUGGCCUUUUUUCUUGUUCCUCUGAAGUUCUUUCAUCUGUACUGGGUUACACAAACAUGCGAGUUUAUGUGAGUCUGUGACGGUGAAAUAAGCAAGUGCUUUAGGAGCUUUAUCUUCUAGUGCAACUUGACUCAAACGGCAGAAAUAAAACACAUCAACACAA